rnacentral:misc_RNA from 1 species
AAGUCGUAACAAGGUUUCCGUAGGUGAACCUGCGGAAGGAUCAUUACAAAUGAACUCUUCGUAUAGGGAGUUACAUUCCUAUCCACUUUGUGUGCACAAUUAUUUGUUACCUGGCAGGCGUUGGCUGAAAAGUUAACAGUUUCUUCUUUGGGAAAAUGAGAAUUAACGAUUGCAAGGUCUCGCUUUUUGAGGAUUCGGCGAAAGUCGCAAUUUUCAGGGCGCCCUUUAUCUGCUUUCCCUUCCCGAUUUCGAAUCAACCUGCCAGUGGCUUCGGCCAAAUAAACCUGUCUUUUUUUUACAGUCUGAAGUCUUUUUAUUUAAAAAACAAAAUAAAAAACAACUUUUAGCAACGGAUCUCUUGGUUCUC